AAGAGGCACAAUUAAGAAUGCGGAACAAUUAUCAGUAAAAUUGUUUUCCAAGCAUAAAGGGAUUGCCAUUAUAGCACUAAUAAUUCAUGCAAAUAAAGCUUAAUAAAAAGUGGCGUUAGCCACAAGCAAUAUAAUAUAUUGUUAAUUUAGCAUUAUGUUCACUUAUUCAUAGUAUCAUUAGCCGUAACUGUAGGACUGAGUCCCACUCUAUCCGAUACAUAAAUGAACAUGUAGAAGUGAGAAUUCCCAGUUCCUGGUAAAGCAUGUCAACCAUAAUUAAGUGACCAAUUUUAAUGGAAUUUUACCUUGAAAUUUAUUGUAGAAAAAGGAUAAAUUGUGGGACAAAGAACAGUGAUAAAAUCAACAUCAAUUAUUAACAAUAAAAUAAAAGAGGGGGUUUUGCUGUACCCCUCCUCGCAAAGGGAAUAGUGCUUUGCUCUCCUUUUUUUUCUUUGAUUUUUUUUCCAAUCAAUUUUUUUUUUUAAUUUCAUUCUUAAAUACUAGAUUUUUUUUCUAUUUAGUUAUCACACUCUCAUAAAACGGAUCCUAGACUUGACGUGUUAACCUAGUUUGGCAGGUUAACCCCAUUAACUUAUAUUUUUUUUUCUUAUUUUUUUUUCAAUUUCAUCCUUUAAUAUUGAUUUGAUUGAUAAUUAAACUCCAUAAUUUGUUUUGUUUACUUUUCAUUUGGUUAUCCAGGUCUCAUGAUUCAAGAAUAGUGCUUAAUGGGUUAACCUGAGUUAAC